rnacentral:rRNA from 1 species
GGGUUGUGAGGUUAAGCGACUAAGCGUACACGGUGGAUGCCCUGGCAGUCAGAGGCGAUGAAGGACGUGCUAAUCUGCGAUAAGCGUCGGUAAGGUGAUAUGAACCGUUAUAACCGGCGAUUUCCGAAUGGGGAAACCCAGUGUGAUUCGACACACUAUCAUUAACUGAAUCCAUAGGUUAAUGAGGCGAACCGGGGGAACUGAAACAUCUAAGUACCCCGAGGAAAAGAAAUCAACCGAGAUUCCCCCAGUAGCGGCGAGCGAACGGGGAGCAGCCCAGAGCCUGAAUCAGUGUGUGUGUUAGUGGAAGCGUCUGGAAAGGCGCGCGAUACAGGGUGACAGCCCCGUACACAAAAAUGCACAUGCUGUGAGCUCGAUGAGUAGGGCGGGACACGUGGUAUCCUGUCUGAAUAUGGGGGGACCAUCCUCCAAGGCUAAAUACUCCUGACUGACCGAUAGUGAACCAGUACCGUGAGGGAAAGGCGAAAAGAACCCCGGCGAGGGGAGUGAAAAAGAACCUGAAACCGUGUACGUACAAGCAGUGGGAGCACAGAGCAAUCUGUGUGACUGCGUACCUUUUGUAUAAUGGGUCAGCGACUUAUAUUCUGUAGCAAGGUUAACCGAAUAGGGGAGCCGAAGGGAAACCGAGUCUUAACUGGGCGUUAAGUUGCAGGGUAUAGACCCGAAACCCGGUGAUCUAGCCAUGGGCAGGUUGAAGGUUGGGUAACACUAACUGGAGGACCGAACCGACUAAUGUUGAAAAAUUAGCGGAUGACUUGUGGCUGGGGGUGAAAGGCCAAUCAAACCGGGAGAUAGCUGGUUCUCCCCGAAAGCUAUUUAGGUAGCGCCUCGUGAAUUCAUCUCCGGGGGUAGAGCACUGUUUCGGCAAGGGGGUCAUCCCGACUUACCAACCCGAUGCAAACUGCGAAUACCGGAGAAUGUUAUCACGGGAGACACACGGCGGGUGCUAACGUCCGUCGUGAAGAGGGAAACAACCCAGACCGCCAGCUAAGGUCCCAAAGUCAUGGUUAAGUGGGAAACGAUGUGGGAAGGCCCAGACAGCCAGGAUGUUGGCUUAGAAGCAGCCAUCAUUUAAAGAAAGCGUAAUAGCUCACUGGUCGAGUCGGCCUGCGCGGAAGAUGUAACGGGGCUAAACCAUGCACCGAAGCUGCGGCAGCGACGCUUAUGCGUUGUUGGGUAGGGGAGCGUUCUGUAAGCCUGCGAAGGUGUGCUGUGAGGCAUGCUGGAGGUAUCAGAAGUGCGAAUGCUGACAUAAGUAACGAUAAAGCGGGUGAAAAGCCCGCUCGCCGGAAGACCAAGGGUUCCUGUCCAACGUUAAUCGGGGCAGGGUGAGUCGACCCCUAAGGCGAGGCCGAAAGGCGUAGUCGAUGGGAAACAGGUUAAUAUUCCUGUACUUGGUGUUACUGCGAAGGGGGGACGGAGAAGGCUAUGUUGGCCGGGCGACGGUUGUCCCGGUUUAAGCGUGUAGGCUGGUUUUCCAGGCAAAUCCGGAAAAUCAAGGCUGAGGCGUGAUGACGAGGCACUACGGUGCUGAAGCAACAAAUGCCCUGCUUCCAGGAAAAGCCUCUAAGCAUCAGGUAACAUCAAAUCGUACCCCAAACCGACACAGGUGGUCAGGUAGAGAAUACCAAGGCGCUUGAGAGAACUCGGGUGAAGGAACUAGGCAAAAUGGUGCCGUAACUUCGGGAGAAGGCACGCUGAUAUGUAGGUGAAGUCCCUCGCGGAUGGAGCUGAAAUCAGUCGAAGAUACCAGCUGGCUGCAACUGUUUAUUAAAAACACAGCACUGUGCAAACACGAAAGUGGACGUAUACGGUGUGACGCCUGCCCGGUGCCGGAAGGUUAAUUGAUGGGGUUAGCGCAAGCGAAGCUCUUGAUCGAAGCCCCGGUAAACGGCGGCCGUAACUAUAACGGUCCUAAGGUAGCGAAAUUCCUUGUCGGGUAAGUUCCGACCUGCACGAAUGGCGUAAUGAUGGCCAGGCUGUCUCCACCCGAGACUCAGUGAAAUUGAACUCGCUGUGAAGAUGCAGUGUACCCGCGGCAAGACGGAAAGACCCCGUGAACCUUUACUAUAGCUUGACACUGAACAUUGAGCCUUGAUGUGUAGGAUAGGUGGGAGGCUUUGAAGUGUGGACGCCAGUCUGCAUGGAGCCGACCUUGAAAUACCACCCUUUAAUGUUUGAUGUUCUAACGUUGACCCGUAAUCCGGGUUGCGGACAGUGUCUGGUGGGUAGUUUGACUGGGGCGGUCUCCUCCUAAAGAGUAACGGAGGAGCACGAAGGUUGGCUAAUCCUGGUCGGACAUCAGGAGGUUAGUGCAAUGGCAUAAGCCAGCUUGACUGCGAGCGUGACGGCGCGAGCAGGUGCGAAAGCAGGUCAUAGUGAUCCGGUGGUUCUGAAUGGAAGGGCCAUCGCUCAACGGAUAAAAGGUACUCCGGGGAUAACAGGCUGAUACCGCCCAAGAGUUCAUAUCGACGGCGGUGUUUGGCACCUCGAUGUCGGCUCAUCACAUCCUGGGGCUGAAGUAGGUCCCAAGGGUAUGGCUGUUCGCCAUUUAAAGUGGUACGCGAGCUGGGUUUAGAACGUCGUGAGACAGUUCGGUCCCUAUCUGCCGUGGGCGCUGGAGAACUGAGGGGGGCUGCUCCUAGUACGAGAGGACCGGAGUGGACGCAUCACUGGUGUUCGGGUUGUCAUGCCAAUGGCAUUGCCCGGUAGCUAAAUGCGGAAGAGAUAAGUGCUGAAAGCAUCUAAGCACGAAACUUGCCCCGAGAUGAGUUCUCCCUGACUCCUUGAGAGUCCUGAAGGAACGUUGAAGACGACGACGUUGAUAGGCCGGGUGUGUAAGCGCAGCGAUGCGUUGAGCUAACCGGUACUAAUGAACCGUGAGGCUUAACCUUACAACGCCGAAGCUGUU